rnacentral:rRNA from 1 species
CACGUAGGGCGCAAGCGUUGUCCGGAAUUAUUGGGCGUAAAGAGCUCGUAGGCGGUCUGUUGCGUCCGCUGUGAAAACUCGGGGCUUAACCCCGAGCCUGCAGUGGAUACGGGCAGACUAGAGGUAGGUAGGGGAGAAUGGAAUUCCCGGUGUAGCGGUGAAAUGCGCAGAUAUCGGGAGGAACACCGGUGGCGAAGGCGCUCUGCUGGACCUUAACCGACACUGAGGGACGAAAGCUAGGGGAGCGAAUGGG